rnacentral:misc_RNA from 1 species
ACAAAUCCUGCUGCAGUGCCUUUUGGGUGCUGUAGUAUAUUAACUCGGUCCAGGUCGCAAGGCUUGGGCUGAUAAAUUAAUGUGUGUAAUGUUGACAAUGUGUGUGUGAUUAAUUAGUAGA